UACACUCCUACGGGAGGCAGCAGUGGGGAAUUUUGGACAAUGGGCGAAAGCCUGAUCCAGCAAUGCCGCGUGUGUGAAGAAGGCCUUCGGGUUGUAAAGCACUUUUGUCCGGAAAGAAAUCCUUGGCUCUAAUACAGUCGGGGGAUGACGGUACCGGAAGAAUAAGCACCGGCUAACUACGUGCCAGCAGCCGCGGUAAUACGUAGGGUGCGAGCGUUAAUCGGAAUUACUGGGCGUAAAGCGUGCGCAGGCGGUUUGCUAAGACCGAUGUGAAAUCCCCGGGCUCAACCUGGGAACUGCAUUGGUGACUGGCAGGCUAGAGUAUGGCAGAGGGGGGUAGAAUUCCACGUGUAGCAGUGAAAUGCGUAGAGAUGUGGAGGAAUACCGAUGGCGAAGGCAGCCCCCUGGGCCAAUACUGACGCUCAUGCACGAAAGCGUGGGGAGCAAACAGGAUUAGAUACCCGGGUAGUCCCAUG
rnacentral:rRNA from 1 species